UACAGAGGUCUCAAGCGUUGUUCGGAUUCAUUGGGCGUAAAGGGUGCGUAGGUGGCGCGCUAAGUCGGGUGUGAAAUUUCGGAGCUUAACUCCGAAACUGCAUUCGAUACUGGCGUGCUUGAGGACUGGAGAGGAGACUGGAAUUCAUGGUGUAGCAAUGAAAUGCGUAGAGAUCAUGAGGAAGACCAGUGGCGAAGGCGGGUCUCUGGACAGUUCCUGACACUGAGGCACGAAGGCCAGGGGAGCAAACGGG
rnacentral:rRNA from 1 species